rnacentral:rRNA from 1 species
GUAGGUGGCAAGCGUUGUCCGGAAUUAUUGGGCGUAAAGCGCGCGCAGGUGGGUUCUUUAAGUCUGAUGUGAAAGCCCCCGGGCUCAACCGGGGAGGGUCAUUGGAAACUGGGGAACUUGAGUGCAGGAGAGGAAAGUGGAAUUCCACGUGUAGCGGUGAAAUGCGUAGAUAUGUGGAGGAACGCCAGUGGCGAAGGCGACUUUCUGGCCUGUAACUGACACUGAGGCGCGAAAGCGUGGGGAGCAAACAGGAUUAGAUGCCCUGGUAGUCCACGCCGUAAACGAUGAGUGCUAAGUGUUGGGGGGUUUCCGCCCCUCAGUGCUGCAGCUAACGCAUUAAGCACCCCGCCUGGGGAGUACGGCCGCAAAGACUG